UACGUAGGGUGCAAGCGUUAAUCGGAAUUACUGGGCGUAAAGCGUGCGCAGGCGGUUAUGUAAGACAGGUGUGAAAUCCCCGGGCUUAACCUGGGAACUGCAUUUGUGACUGCAAGGCUAGAAUCUGGCAGAGGGGGGUAGAAUUCCACGGUGUAGCAGUGAAAUGCGUAGAUAUGUGGAGGAAUACCGAUGGCGAAGGCAGCCCCCUGGGCUAAGAUUGACGCUCAUGCACGAAAGCGUGGGGAGCAAACAGG
rnacentral:rRNA from 1 species